GGUUUGAAUGUAAUGAUGAUUUGAUGAGUUAAUAUUGGUAGAACUGAAUUAAACAAAAAAAGAAAAGUUUAGAUUAUCAAUAGGGAUCUUGAAACAAAUCCAUUUCUCUAAAAAUUAGUUCAAGACACUGACGGUUAUUAGUAAGAAAUGGAGUAGUUCACUUUUAUAUCACUUAAAUUUACCGAGACACAAGUCUGUGUGCAGACUAAUAAUACCGCACAUUUCCAUGUUUUAUUUAGUGUUUUCUGUUAUAUUGUCUUAUUCAGGAUGGUGUCUUAGGUUGUUUCUGUCCAUUGAUUUAAUUUCAAAAUAGUUUUAGGCUUCCACAAAACAUAAAUAAUCUGUAGGUUUAUUAUCAAAGUCAAACAAAUAAAAGAAGAUUAGAAAAAAGCAAAUAUUUUCCCAUUUUGCAGUUUUACUGCUGGACGAAUGCUUAAAAAAAUGAGAAAUCUGCUUUGUAUUCAUAGCUCAUCUUUAAGAGGUCUUUAUAUGUUAGCAAAUUAUGUAUUUUGCUCUUUACUGUCUCCAUAAACUAUUAAAAUAUAUUAGCUUGCACCUCAUAAAUGUUACCACGGCACAACUCUUACUCACACUGGUAAAACAUCAAGAGGAACUGAUAUCACAGGGGAAAGGAAUGAUUUACUAAAGUUACAUAAAACUCUUCUUUCUGUGGCAGAUUACAAUAAAACUUCUAUAUAAUCUCUAAUAGUGGAAUAUUAUACAUAGGCUCUAUAAAAACAUCUUUAUGGCUCAGGAAAGAGAAGCAUUACGGCUUGUUCCCUGUUCGUUACGGUUUAAACGGUUUAAAGAUAAAUGAGUCCAUAUAUUUCACACAUCAGACGUCAUCUAAUUCACUGGAGGUUUGUCCAUAAAAAUGAGUCUUGUUUCAGAUUUUAGGUUGUGAGGAAGCGUCCACUAGUAGCGAAGAGAUGCAGUCCGAUAAGAAACAAUACAAAAAAUAAAACAAUUUGUUGCACACUUUAAACCUGUUGAUUACACAGUAAUACGAUGAUCUUCGUAUGUAUAACAACGUUUUUAUUUUCACUUUUAUUUCAUCUCAAAUUAGCUCAUUCCCAAAAAUGUUGGACUAUCCAUCUGUUGAAUACCCUGUAAUAUUAAUACAGACAGUAUGUUGUGAUCUUUCUGCUUUCAUUCAUCUGCCAACUUUAUGUAUAGUAUUAUUACAUUACAAGUCAUUUAGCUGAUGCUUUUAUCCAAAGCGACUUACAUCACAUUUUUAAUCCAUGGCUUUUUUACAUUUCGCCCAGGGAGCAAUUAGGGGUUAGGUGUCUUGCUCAGGGACACUUCAACAUGGGACAUGGAGCAGCCGGGGCUCAAACCGACAACCAUGCGGUUCUCCGGCACACCCUGUCUACCCACGCGCCACCGUCGACCCCCCGUCGACCCCCCGUCGAGGAUAUAUGUCCUAAAACAAACAUAUUAUGCACACACAGAUAUCCUGGUGUCCUGGUUGCUCUUCCUGGAGCAGCAGGGUGUCGCAGGGGGAGGAGGGGGGAGAAAAUGGAAGCGCAGGGACAACAGAGACAACAGGAGAACAGACCUCCCAUUGAACUUGGCUUGCUUCCAGCUCUCACUCAGCCAGCAAGCAGCUGUGAAUCAGUCGCUUGCUUAUGCACAAAAACGCUGCCAUUACAUUAAACACACACUCGAUCAGGCGCCCCAGUCCCAUACCCAGGUCCAGUCCCAGUCUCAUGCCCAGGCCCAGUCCCAGUCCCAGUCCCAGUCCCAGUCCCAUACCCAGGUCCAGUCCCAGUCUCAUGCCCAGGCCCAGUCCCAGUCCCAGUCCCAGUCCCAUACCCAGGUCCAGUCCCAGUCUCAUGCCCAGUCCCAGUCCCAUACCCAGGUCCAGUCCCAGUCUCAUGCCCAGGCCCAGUCCCAGUUCCAUACCCAGGUCCAGUCCCAGUCUCAUGCCCAGGCCCAGUCCCAGUCCCAGUCCCAGUCUCAUACCCAGGUUCAGUCCCCGGCCCCGUCCAAGACCCAGGUCCAGAUUCAGACGCGGGCUAACAGCAUGGGAAAGUCCUCCUCCAGUAUCAGCUCUCCCAUUUACCCCCUGGUCUCCUCUGUCGGCGCUGCGCUCUUACCUGCAGGGCUUUUCGUUCCUGAUUCUCCUACUUUUUCUCUUUUUAGUUUCUUGACAGACGUUGGCCUGGGGGGGUUGCGUUUGGUGAAGCUCUGGUGGGAACCAGCGUAGGGUGACCGCAGGAAGGGGGUCUUCCAUGAGGAUGUUGGGAGGAUCCUGGUGGAUGACAGUACUGUUUGUGCAGGCAGAUGUACAGAGACAGAGAGAGCCUGGCUUGGGAACACCCUGAUCGAGGGGUACCGUCGGCCCGUCUGAGGCCCAGAAGGAACUCGCGCAUCUCGCCGGCGGUCACGAAUCCGCGGCGCUGUGCGGGAGAAGCCCGAGCGGGCCCCCGCACAGCGAGGGAAGAUGACCUCCGGUGAUAACGCUCACAGGGGUGAAUGUCAAUCACGCUGCCUGCACGAAUGUGUGUGCGCGUGUCUGCAUGUGUGAAACAAUGCUCCACGAUUGUUGAUGCAAGUAUGUUUUGUGUACAAUGCAUUCUUAGUGUGUGUGUGUGUGUGUGUGUGUGCCCACCGAUGGCCCGUUAGAUUGAGCUGUCAGUCUGCAGGCGGCAGAUGAAGAUUAAUGGAGCGUGCAAACAAUAAGAAGCUGGCAAUGAUCAUAAAUAUGCUAAUGGCUAUUAUCAAUACACACUCCCUGACAGGGUGUGUGUGUGUGUCUGUACAGUAUUCCAGUAGCAAAGAUUUGGGUAGGAGAUUAUUCGAUGAAGUUAAAAUUGUUCUCCCUCCCCUUGGGAUGCACACAAACACACACACACACACACACACACACACACACACAGACGCACACACAUUUUUAGAGCGGCAGUGUGUUGACUGACUGAUGGACGGGAGAGACAGCCGUCCCAUGUGUUAUGUUUGUGUUGUGGGCUGUGAGAGGGGAGGGGGGCUCAUUGAGCAGAUUACAUGAUUGGUUUUGUAUCAAAAUGUGUUUAUUUAGUGUUUGUGUGUCCGCGCGUGUGUGUGUGUGUAGGUGUGUGAGAAGCGCCGUGGAUGUCUACGAUGUCUGUGCCAAGCCACUGAUUAAGGGUUCAGCUACAGGUUCAGCUAAUGGCACAAUGAGAGGCUGAUUAAGAGCGGCAGAGAUGCUGGGAAAAAAAAGAGAGUGGCGUGAGAUAUAAAAGGGAGAGAUGGACAGAUCCAUUCACUACACUGAUGAUGGGGCUCUUUGUUGUCUCAUCCCAUUCUAUGGUCCUCUGGGGUCCUUCCUAUGUCUGGAGCAUACACUCAUUUAAAAAGAAAAAAGCCUCUUUCUUUACCCGCUGCCUCAGCCUCCUUCCUCCUUCCUCACAACCCAUGUGGGUCACCCAGCGCAGAGGAGCAGCACAGGGGCCGCAAACUGAAACCCGGUCACCGUUCAUCACCUGGGAAACAUACUUCUUCACCUCCUUCUGUACUUUUUACCCCUGGUUGUCUCCUCUAAUGCCCCCCUCCUCCUCUCACUUUGCUCUGCUAGGGUCUGCAGGGUCCACUGGGAAAUGUUGGGGGCUCACAGGGCUCUCCAACCUUCCUUGUCCUUUAAACACACAUAACUCCUGCACUCCCUGACCCCCCCUCCCCUCGAACACACACACACGCACACACACUAUUCAUCCGAUCCUGAUAGGGAGUCAUUUGUGUGUGCUCGGGUGGCGAUGGAUGGAGCAUGUAAAGUAGACAUAGGGAAGUGGUUAUGAUCUGGGCUAAUGAGCUCACAGGGGACUCUGGGAUAGAGGAGGCCGGCCAGUGGCAGGCCUGCUUUGGAUACACCCCUCUGGGGGGGGUCCCUGUUCCAGCCCGGUUGCCCCAUGGGAAUGUGUCAGUGUAUGAGUGUGUACAGUAUCUGUUUGAAACGGUCCCCGCGGUCAUUACAUACGCAUUCUGCUGAGCUGGGUAUUAUUGCGCUCCAUGGACACGGGUAGCAUUUAGAUGUCGAAUCACAUCGGUCAUUAAGUCAAGGUCACCGCUGAGGGCGAAAACACGGAGGGACCCGCUGCUUUUUGGACUGCUAUCGAACAAAAGACACCCUCCCUUGCAAGCCAGGCAGAUCAAACUCAUAGAAACUCAGUGACUGCGUCCGCGGUGACCGAACAGGUGUGCGCGCGUGUGUAUCGCUGUGUCGUUUUGUGUGCGUCUCAUUGCCAUGCAUGGUGUGUCAAGAGUUGUCCAGGAGGCUGAGCCGCCGCUCGCUGCUCGAGGGCACAGUUAUAGAUUACUGGCUGCAGCGGGCGGGGGGGGGGCCAGGGGAGCCGCCGGAGCCCAGACCCGAGAACGACAGGCCCCGGACGCGUCUCUCGGCUCAUCAGCGUAUCUCUCGAAGGCUGCGGAGCUUAACCUGGAGCAAGGCUCUGAUUAACCGGGCUAAUGACGGGGCAGCCCCCAGCUCCCACUGACCAACACCAUAAUCACUGCUUAAGGCCCCGGCCAGUCGGCGUGUGUGUAUGGAGAGAGACAGAGAGAGAGAGAGAGAGAGAGAGAGAGAGAGAGAGUAGUGUCACAGCUUAAUGGAUAAGUCUACUGACAACAAGCAUUUAAAGUCAGCUGUCGAUACCAGCUUUUAGAGUCACUCGCAUUGGCAGGGGAACGGCGUAUAAAGAGGCUGAAUCGACACGUUCAGACGCCCAAUUCUUUUUUCCUGUGUUUGACAGUUGAACGUGUUCAUGCGGCUGAGUUUGUGCGUGUAGCCGCGGAAUGGCUGUGCGUGUGUGUGAAAGUGUGUGUAACCGCAUUUGUAGGUGUUUAAUAAGUGCUGAUCGAUGCCUUAUCUCCAAAGUAAACAUUUCCUCAGAACAGUGGACGGACUCAGCCUUGGGUACACAGAGGGAACCCCGACAGGCAAACUGCACAAAGCAAACGACACAUGCAAAUAAGACAAAGACAGAUGUGUUUUUGUCCGUGUGCGACUCUUACAGACAACUUCCCAGUAAAGGAAACUAGCGUGCACCCGUGAUGCAAGUUAAGUGUCUUUGUGGGUGCGAGGCCGGGAAGGGUGGCGGUGCAAUUGCCCUGCAGCAAGAA
ensembl:lncRNA